CCCGCGCCGCUGGAGGCGGGGACCGGGCUGAGGCCGUGCUCCCGCCGGGCUCGCCUUGCGGACGGCAGGCGGGUAACAUCUAUCCCUGGCAUCUGCUUCACCUCCCCAACCUCUGCCCAGGGAGAGGCAAACACUGCCUCUCCAGGAAAGGCACAACUCCCCCACCCCACCCCCACUCCGUAUCCAUGCAUCCUCCCUCUCGAACCACGUUGUGAUGACAUCUAGGGCUCACUGACUUCUAGCCUGUGAGGAAACCUUGGAGUUCUUCAAGGACACAGAGAAAAUCUUUGAGUCAAAGCAUCAAGGGAAUCCAAGACCUUCAUUUUCCUGGUGGCAAAAUCGAGGCCCAGAAAAAAGGACGUCUGGCCUGCAAAACAUGGUGAGUGUGGUCUCCAGGAGAUUUAGGCAAUGCAGUGGCCUAGC
rnacentral:lncRNA from 1 species